UAGGUAGGUUCCUCAAGAAGUUAAAAACAGAGCUACCCUAUAAUCCAGCAAUUGCACUACUAAAUAUUUACCCAAAAGAUACAAAUGUAAUAAUCCAAAGGGACGCCGACACCCCAGUAUUCAUAGCAGCAAUGUCCACAAUGGCCAAACUGGAAAGAGUGCAAAUGUCCAACGACAGAUGAAUGGAUAAAGAAGAUAUGGGGUCUAACCAAGAGUUUCAACUUUCUGAGCAAUGGAAUAAUGAGGAAGAAGAGAAUAUACUUUACUAGAUGAUCAGUAGGCUUUAUACAACAGCAGCUACUCAAGGAUACCGGCUGUUGGGACAGACACCAUCUUGAAUGUUGUCAUCACAUUGUGAAAGAAGACGGUGACGGAGGAUCUCACAUAAGGAAUCAACUGCUCAACCUGGCAGUGACAUAACAUUUUUCUUCAUAACUCAUUGGACAGAACUAUUCACAUCUUCUGGUCACUCCCCUCCUCCCACCAUCCCCUGAACUAUAAGGAAAGUACCUUCCUAGCAAGUGCCUAGAAGGUGGAAAGCAGAAACUAUCUGAACAGCACUCACAACUCCUCAACCUACAACAUAGAUUGCAUGAGCUGUAAACAGCCAUAUUCUGUCAUGGAGCCUGAGGACCAAAGAAUGAUAACAAAACAGAUGCCCAGAGAGAAGUGAAGUCUAGAGAGAGAAUCCUGCCUCGCUUCUCAGCUGUUUUUUUCUAGAUCCUGUUUCAACUUUGUACUCAGAUCUGGAUGCAUUCCUGUCCUUGGGGUGGGAAAUCAAUAGUUCUGUGUGGGAUAUGUUAACUUUGAGAUGCCUAUUUAGCUUUCAAGUGGAAAUGUUAGGAAGGUUGUCUGGUCUAUAAGCCUGGAACCCAUGGGAACAGUUUAGGCUGGAAAUGUGACUUCAAGAGUAACCUAUAAAUGGUAUUUAAAGCUGUGGGUAAGGAGAGGAGUGUUUAGAUAGAGAAGUGCUCUAGGAUACGAGAGCUAGUAUUAAAGGACAAUAUGGAGGUUCCUCAAAAAAUUAAAAAUAGAACUACUAUACGAUCCAGGACUCAAACUACUGGAUAUUUACCCAAAGAAUAUAAAAACCCUAAUUCAAAGGGAUGCAUGCA